rnacentral:rRNA from 1 species
GGUCCUACGGGUGGCUGCAGUCGGGGAUAUUGCACAAUGGGCGCAAGCUUGAUGCAGCAACGCCGCGUGGGCGAUGAAGGCCUUCGGGUCGUAAAGCCCUUUUCUGGGAGAAGAGUAAGGACGGUAUCCCAGGAAUAAGUGUCGGCUAACUACGUGCCAGCAGCCGCGGUAAUACGUAGGACACAAGCGUUAUCCGGAUUCACUGGGCGUAAAGAGCGUUGAGGCGGUUCUGUAAGUUGGACGUGAAAGCCCCCGGCCUAACUGGGGGAGGCCGUUCAAUACUGCAGGACUUGAGGGCAGCAGAGGGAGGUGGAAUUCCCGGUGUAGUGGUGAAAUGCGUAGAUAUCGGGAGGAACACCAGUGGCGAAGGCGGCCUCCUGGGCUGCACCUGACGCUGAAGGCGAAAGCUAGGGGAGCGAACGGGAUUAGAUACCCCAGUAGUCA